rnacentral:rRNA from 1 species
GAUGAACGCUGGCGGCGUGCCUAAUACAUGCAAGUAGAACGCUGAAGGAGGAGCUUGCUCUUCUGGAUGAGUUGCGAACGGGUGAGUAACGCGUAGGUAACCUGCCUGGUAGCGGGGGAUAACUAUUGGAAACGAUAGCUAAUACCGCAUGACAACAGUUAUUGCAUGAUAACUGUUUAAAAGGGGCAACUGCUCCACUACCAGAUGGACCUGCGUUGUAUUAGCUAGUUGGUGAGGUAACGGCUCACCAAGGCGACGAUACAUAGCCGACCUGAGAGGGUGGUCGGCCACACUGGGACUGAGACACGGCCCAGACUCCUACGGGAGGCAGCAGUAGGGAAUCUUCGGCAAUGGACGGAAGUCUGACCGAGCAACGCCGCGUGAGUGAAGAAGGUUUUCGGAUCGUAAAACUCUGUUGUAAGAGAAGAACGAGUGUGAGAGUGGAAAGUUCACACUGUGACGGUAUCUUACCAGAAAGGGACGGCUAACUACGUG